GGGUGCUUGGCGCAAUGGCUAGCGUGUUUGGCUUCGAUGCCUUACGUAAUAUGUGGGCGACACGUGACCAAAAGGUUGCAGGUUCGAGUCCUGCAGUGCUCA